GUUUUCCACACUAUUUGCAAGACAAUGGAUUGUUAGGUUCUUGAUUCAAUGGGAGGAAGAAGAACUUGUCUUGCACUAGGGUGGGAACCAUAACCCCCCUCUUUAUACCUCUAGGAGUUACAUAACCCAAGAGACAAGAGUUACAAGAGUUAUUCUUCCAAGAGUUACACAACUCAAGAGUCACAAGCAUGUAACCAUGGUUACAUAUGUAACCUUAGUUA
rnacentral:lncRNA from 1 species